rnacentral:rRNA from 1 species
CCUACGGGGGGCAGCAGUGAGGAAUAUUCGUCAAUGGACGAGAGUCUGAACCAGCCAAGUAGCGUGAAGGAUGACUGCCCUAUGGGUUGUAAACUUCUUUUAUAUGGGAAUAAAAUGUUCCACGUGUGGGAUUUUGUAUGUACCAUAUGAAUAAGGAUCGGCUAACUCCGUGCCAGCAGCCGCGGUAAUACGGAGGAUCCGAGCGUUAUCCGGAUUUAUUGGGUUUAAAGGGAGCGUAGGUGGAUUGUUAAGUCAGUUGUGAAAGUUUGCGGCUCAACCGUAAAAUUGCAGUUGAAACUGGCAGUCUUGAGUACAGUAGAGGUGGGCGGAAUUCGUGGUGUAGCGGUGAAAUGCUUAGAUAUCACGAAGAACUCCGAUUGCGAAGGCAGUUCACUGGACUGCAACUGACACUGAGGCUCGAAAGUGUGGGUAUCAAACAGGAUUAGAUACCCCUGUAGUC